rnacentral:rRNA from 1 species
AUUGAACGCUGGCGGCAGGCUUAACACAUGCAAGUCGAGCGGGGGAGGUUGCUUCGGUAACUGACCUAGCGGCGGACGGGUGAGUAAUGCUUAGGAAUCUGCCUAUUAGUGGGGGACAACAUUCCGAAAGGGAUGCUAAUACCGCAUACGCACUACGGGGGAAAGCAGGGGAUCUUCGGACCUUGCGCUAAUAGAUGAGCCUAAGUCGGAUUAGCGAUGUGGUGGGGUAAAGGCCUACCAAGGCGACGAUCUGUAGCGGGUCUGAGAGGAUGAUCCGCCACACUGGGACUGAGACACGGCCCAGACUCCUACGGGAGGCAGCAGUGGGGAAUAUUGGACAAUGGGCGGAAGCCUGAUCCAGCCAUGCCGCGUGUGUGAAGAAGGCCUUUUGGUUGUAAAGCACUUUAAGCGAGGAGGAGGCUCUUAAGGUUAAUACCCUUGAUGAGUGGACGUUACUCGCAGAAUAAGCACCGGCUAACUCUGUGCCAGCCGCCGCAGUAACAC